GCUGAGAGGUCGUUGAUUCUUGCAGUGAAACGAAGAGAGUAAGCAACGCUGUGCUAAAGGGUUGCACAGCAGCACAGCCAUGGAUUCUGCUCUGUUUUCAACUAUUCUAGUCCCUGUGGUGCAGAAGAUUUUGGGGGCAUUUAGAGGGGGCGUAAGAAAUUUGCUUUGUCAGGGACGAAAGAGCUCCAGAGAAAAUGGGACCUAUCGAAU
rnacentral:misc_RNA from 1 species